AAACAGGAAAGAGUCCAGGCGAUAUAUCCAACAAAGAAAAUAGCCAACCUGUGGACAUGGACGGUUUUGCGGAUGAUGAGGGUGCUAAUCCGGCAACAGUAGAAUUGCUGGAAACAGGAAAGAGUCCAGGCGAUAUAUCCAACAAAGAAAAUAGCCAACCUGUGGACAUGGACGGUUUUGCGGAUGAUGAACCACAGCCUGGAAAGUCGGGUAUUGCUCUCAGUGACACUGUUCAGAUUGACAAUGAGAACUGAUAACAGGGAAACCGUUAGUGUUUUAUUAGUUAAACUGGAACAUAUAAAAAAAAAAUCAGAAAAAUGUUGUUCCUGAAAAUGUCA